UACGGGGGGGGCAAGCGUUGUUCGGAAUUACUGGGCGUAAAGGGCUCGUAGGCGGCCAACUAAGUCAGACGUGAAAUCCCUAGGCUCAACCUAGGAACUGCGUCUGAUACUGGAUGGCUUGAAUCCGGGAGAGGGAUGCAGAAUUCCAGGUGUAGCGGUGAAAUGCGUAGAUAUCGAGAGGAACACCAGUGGCGAAGGCGGCUCACUGGCCCGAUACUGACGCUGAGGCACGAAAGCGUGGGGAGCAAACAGG
rnacentral:rRNA from 1 species